rnacentral:rRNA from 1 species
CUUAACACAUGCAAGUCGAGGGGCAGCAUGGUCUUAGCUUGCUAAGGCCGAUGGCGACCGGCGCACGGGUGAGUAACACGUAUCCAACCUGCCGUCUACUCUUGGACAGCCUUCUGAAAGGAAGAUUAAUACAAGAUGGCAUCAUGAGUCCGCAUGUUCACAUGAUUAAAGGUAUUCCGGUAGACGAUGGGGAUGCGUUCCAUUAGAUAGUAGGCGGGGUAACGGCCCACCUAGUCUUCGAUGGAUAGGGGUUCUGAGAGGAAGGUCCCCCACAUUGGAACUGAGACACGGUCCAAACUCCUACGGGAGGCAGCAGUGAGGAAUAUUGGUCAAUGGGCGAGAGCCUGAACCAGCCAAGUAGCGUGAAGGAUGACUGCCCUAUGGGUUGUAAACUUCUUUUAUAAAGGAAUAAAGUCGGGUAUGGAUACCCGUUUGCAUGUACUUUAUGAAUAAGGAUCGGCUAACUCCGUGCCAGCAGCCGCGGUAAUACGGAGGAUCCGAGCGUUAUCCGGAUUUAUUGGGUUUAAAGGGAGUGUAGAUGGAUAUUUAAGUCAGUUGUGAAAGUUUGCGGCUCAACCGUAAAAUUGCAGUUGAUACUGGAUAUCUUGAGUGCAGUUGAGGCAGGCGGAAUUCGUGGUGUAGCGGUGAAAUGCUUAGAUAUCACGAAGAACUCCGAUUGCGAAGGCAGCCUGCU